GACAAGUUGGGAGCAAUAUACAUCUCCCAGGAAGAAAUAAGUUGCAGAUCUGAAACAAAGAUUCAGGAACUCAGAAGCAACCAGGAUAGUCUAUGGUCCAAGCUACAGCAAAUGCAACAGGACAUACACGUGUAUAAUGUGGGAGAUGGCAAUGUUGCAGCCACUCCAUCCCUCAUCUUCCUGUCAGCAUAUGGUGUCCAAGGUUGAUCAUUCUUCAGCUGAUAAGUUUUGGAAGGAAGGAGAUUCUUCUCGGAUCAAGAAUGUCAGAGGAUCAUCUGAGGAUGUAAACCUCUUCCUAACCCUGCUCUGGUUGACAGAAGCCAAGUAAAUGCAGAGCAUGCGCCACCAGAUUCAGAAUCACCAGUAACCAUGCUGCAAACUACCAGUGCACAAAGCCACUCACAAAAGAUACCAAAGAAAAUCCUCAGCUCCCUGCCCAGUUGUCAGCAGGGACUACUGCAGGACAAGUCCCAAAUUUCUCCUUUUGAAAUGACCAGCACUGCUCAGGCAUCCAUGGGAAGGAAAGAGAUAGUUAACAUCGCAGAAAGAAAGGAUUAGCUGGAAGAAGAGGAACUGCAAGAACUAUUGUCAAAACUCAUGGAUGGAUUCAAUCUAG
rnacentral:lncRNA from 1 species